rnacentral:rRNA from 1 species
CCUACGGGAGGCAGCAGUGAGGAAUAUUGGUCAAUGGACGAGAGUCUGAACCAGCCAAGUAGCGUGAAGGAUGACUGCCCUAUGGGUUGUAAACUUCUUUUAUAUGGGAAUAAAACGUUCCACGUGUGGGAUUUUGUAUGUACCAUAUGAAUAAGGAUCGGCUAACUCCGUGCCAGCAGCCGCGGUAAUACGGAGGAUCCGAGCGUUAUCCGGAUUUAUUGGGUUUAAAGGGAGCGUAGGUGGAUUGUUAAGUCAGUUGUGAAAGUUUGCGGCUCAACCGUAAAAUUGCAGUUGAAACUGGCAGUCUUGAGUACAGUAGAGGUGGGCGGAAUUCGUGGUGUAGCGGUGAAAUGCUUAGAUAUCACGAAGAACUCCGAUUGCGAAGGCAGUUCACUGGACUGCAACUGACACUGAGGCUCGAAAGUGUGGGUAUCAAACAGGAUUAGAUACCCCUUUAGUC